rnacentral:rRNA from 1 species
GAUGAACGCUGGCGGCGUGCUUAACACAUGCCAGUCGAACGAUGAAGCCCAGCUUGCUGGGUGGAUUAGUGGCGAACGGGUGAGUAACACGUGAGUAACCUGCCCUUAACUCUGGGAUAAGCCUGUGAAACUGGGUCUAAUACCGGAUAGGAGCGUCCACCGCAUGGUGGGUGUUGGAAAGAUUUAUCGGUUUUGGAUGGACUCGCGGCCUAUCAGCUUGUUGGUGAGGUAAUGGCUCACCAAGGCGACGACGGGUAGCCGGCCUGAGAGGGUGACCGGCCACACUGGGACUGAGACACGGCCCAGACUCCUACGGGAGGCAGCAGUGGGGAAUAUUGCACAAUGGGCGGAAGCCUGAUGCAGCGACGCCGCGUGAGGGAUGACGGCCUUCGGGUUGUAAACCUCUUUCAGUAGGGAAGAAGCGAAAGUGACGGUACCUGCAGAAGAAGCACCGGCUAACUACGUG